UGGGGAAUAUUGCACAAUGGGCGCAAGCCUGAUGCAGCCAUGCCGCGUGAGUGAAGAAGGCCCUCGGGUUGUAAAGCACUUUCAGCGGGGAGGAAGGCGGUGAGGUUAAUAACUUCAUCGACUGACGUUACCCGCAGAAGAAGCACCGGCUAACUCCGUGCCAGCAGCCGCGGUAAUACGGAGGGUGCAAGCGUUAAUCGGAAUUACUGGGCGUAAAGCGAACGCAGGCGGUCUGUCAAGUCGGAUGUGAAAUCCACGGGCUCAACCUGGGAACUGCAUUCGAAACUGUCAGGCUAGAGUCUUGUAGAGGUAGGUAGAAUUCCAGGUGUAGCGGUGAAAUGCGUAGAGAUCUGGAAGAAUACCGGUGGCGAAGGCGGCCCGCUAGACAAAGACUGACGCUCAGGUGCGAAAGCGAGGGGAGCAAACGGG
rnacentral:rRNA from 1 species